GGCGCUGGAGUUGUUACCUAAAAGAGAAAAAACAACAGAAACUAAAAAACACAAACCCUAAUUAUUCUAAGGAGAGGAGAGAGACUCAGAAAUUCAUAAAUGGAGAGGACAGAUAGUGAGAAGAAAUAGAGAGAUUUUCAAUGUUAGGGUUUACUUCGACAAUUUAGGUUUGCAAUUCGCAAUUAGUUAUGAGCAAUUUCUCGCAAGGUCUAGCAAUUAGAUGCGCAAAUUCUCUGAAGAAAACUCCAAAACUCUUCAAUGGAUUCAAAUUACACCACCACAAUGAAGCCAGAGGACGACAAACUGUAGUCCCAUACAACAGAUUCAAAAACUCUAGCAAGGUUUGUUAUUUCGAUUUAAUUUUUGGCCCAAUUUCUUGAAUUGCAUUGUAAUAGUUUUAGUUAUUUAGGAUUUUGAUGUUUUGAAUUGAUGGGGUUUAACAUGUCAGCUCUUUGCAAUUUCAAUGGGUUCACUUUAUUUCAAAGAUGAAUUUGAUUUUCGCAACUUAUGGCUUCUUGAAGUUUAAAGAAUUCAAGUAUUUUGCUGUCUUGAGUUUAGAUGAUAAUUGAUUAACUGACUCCAUCGUUUUCGAUCCCUGGAGAGAGAGAACAGUGAUAGUUGAAGGAGACGAAUAAGAGGGAGAAAUGGCGAGAUAAGACAGAUCAAUUACAGUAUUUUCACUUGUCGCCCAUCUCUUUCAAGUCGAAUACACACUUGAAGCAGUCCGUAAGGGCAACGCUGCCGUCGGAGUACGAGCUACCGACACCGUCGUUCUCGGUGUCGAGAAGAAAUCCUCCGCCAAACUUCAAGAUUUCAGGAAGAUUUUGUAUAUGGAAAAUAUGAUGAACAUCACGCAUUUUAUGAAUCUUCCGAGAAAGGAGCAUGGUGAGCUAAAUGGAGGAGAAAUGUAGAUCUAGCAAAUGAGAUGGGGGCUCUUGUUUGUUUUUGGGUCAUUUUGUGAUUUCUAGUAACGUUGAAUUUGUUUCUAUGAAUCUUAAUUUUAUGUAUUUUGGUCAUUAAAAACACUAAGUUAGUGAACAACUAUUUUGUAAUGCAUGUGUCCUAUGGGCACUAAUAUUGUAAUAUUACUCUUUAAGUCAAUGAAAAUCUUUUAUUAUUGA